CGGGGUGCAGCAGGCGCGAAAACUUUACAAUGCUGGCAACAGCGAUAAGGGGACCUUGAGUGCCAGGAUACAAUCCUGGCUGUCGUGAUGCCUAAAAAGCAUUAUAUAGCAAGGGCCGGGCAAGACCGGUGCCAGCCGCCGCGGUAACACCGGCGGCUCGAGUGGUAACCGCUAUUAUUGGGUCUAAAGGGUCUGUAGCCGGCUUGGUUAGUCUCUUGGGAAAUCCGGCAGCUUAACUGUCGGGCUUUCAGGAGAUACUGCCAGGCUCGAGACCGGGAGAGGUGAGAGGUACUUCAUGGGUAGGGGUGAAAUCUUGUAAUCCUUGAAGGACCACCAGUGGCGAAGGCGUCUCACCAGAACGGAUCUGACGGCAAGGGACGAAAGCUAGGGGCACGAACCGGAUUAGAUACCCGGGUAGUCCUAGCCGUAAACGAUACUCGCUAGGUGUCGGCCACGGUGCGACCGUGGUCGGUGCCGUAGGGAAGCCGUGAAGCGAGCCACCUGGGAAGUACGGCCGCAAGGCUGAAACUUAAAGGAAUUGGCGGGGGAGC
rnacentral:rRNA from 1 species